UACAGAGGUGGCAAGCGUUGUUCGGAAUUACUGGGCGUAAAGGGCGCGUAGGUGGCCAUCUAAGUCAGACGUGAAAUCCCCCGGCUUAACCUGGGAACUGCGUCUGAUACUGGACGGCUUGAGUAUGGGAGAGGAACGUAGAAUUCCAGGUGUAGCGGUGAAAUGCGUAGAUAUCUGGAGGAAUACCGGUGGCGAAGGCAAUCCCCUGGGCCUGUACUGACGCUCAUGCACGAAAGCGUGGGGAGCAAACAGG
rnacentral:rRNA from 1 species